UACAACCAUAUCAUGUUGAAAUGUCAGUUCUUAUACAAUCACCAAAGUUAAGCAACAUCCAGCCUGUUCAGUACAUGGAUGGGUGACCACUUAGGAAUACCAGGUGCUGUAA